GAUGAACGCUGGCGGCGUGCCUAAUACAUGCAAGUCGAGCGAACGGACGAGAAGCUUGCUUCUCUGAUGUUAGCGGCGGACGGGUGAGUAACACGUGGAUAACCUACCUAUAAGACUGGGAUAACUUCGGGAAACCGGAGCUAAUACCGGAUAAUAUUUUUAACCGCAUGGUUCAAAAGUGAAAGACGGUCUUGCUGUCACUUAUAGAUGGAUCCGCUCUGCAUUAGCUAGUUGGUAAGGUAACGGCUUACCAAGGCAACGAUGCAUAGCCGACCUGAGAGGGUGAUCGGCAACACUGGAACUGAGAACCGGUCCAGACUCCUACGGGAGGAAGCAGUAGGGAAUCUUCCGAAAUGGGCGAAAGCCUGACGGAGAAACGCCGCGUGAGUGAUGAAGGUCUUCGGAUCGUAAAACUCUGUUAUUAGGGAAGAACAUAUGUGUAAGUAACUGUGCACAUCUUGACGGUACCUAAUCAGAAAGCCACGGCUAACUACGUG
rnacentral:rRNA from 1 species